UGGGGAAUCUUGCGCAAUGGCCGAAAGGCUGACGCAGCGACGCCGCGUGUGGGAGGACGCCUUUCGGGGUGUAAACCACUGUUGCCCGGGACGAACAGCGCUUUUCGAGGCACCUGACGGUACCGGGUGAGGAAGCACCGGCUAACUCCGUGCCAGCCGCCGCGGUAAUACGGAGGGUGCGAGCGUUGUCCGGAAUCACUGGGCGUAAAGGGCGCGUAGGCGGCAGGCCAAGCGUGCGGUGAAAGUCCGGGGCUCAACCCCGGAUCGGCCGUGCGGACUGGUUUGCUGGAGCACUGUAGAGGCGAGUGGAAUUCCGGGUGUAGCGGUGGAAUGCGUAGAGAUCCGGAAGAACACCGGUGGCGAAGGCGGCUCGCUGGGCAGUGGCUGACGCUGAGGCGCGACAGCGUGGGGAGCAAAC
rnacentral:rRNA from 1 species